rnacentral:rRNA from 1 species
AUUGAACGCUGGCGGCAGGCCUAACACAUGCAAGUCGAGCGAGCGGCGGACGGGUGAGUAAUGUAUGGGGAUCUGCCCGAUAGAGGGGGAUAACUACUGGAAACGGUGGCUAAUACCGCAUACUAUCGGAUGAACCCAGAUGGGAUUAGCUAGUAGGUGGGGUAACGGCUCACCUAGGCGACGAUCCCUAGCUGGUCUGAGAGGAUGACCAGCCCAACUGGGACUGAGACACGGCCCAGACUCCUACGUGAGGCAGGAGUGGGGAAUAUUGCACAAUGGGCGCAAGCCUGAUGCAGCCAUGCCGCGUGUAUGAAGAAGGCCUUAGGGUUGUAAAGUACUUUCAGCGAGGAGGCGUUACCCGCAGAAGAAGCACCGGCUAACUCCGUGCCAGCAGCCGCGGUAAUAC